rnacentral:ncRNA from 1 species
UCUUUGCAGACGAUUUCGAGUAAGAGCCUUUUGGUUCUGUAAGGGAAUCCGGUGAAAAUCCGGAACAGUACCCGCUACUGUAAUUCUUUCGGCAAACGGACACAAUGCCUUUGUUUGCCACAUAAUCUCCCAAGGUUAUGCCACUGAGAUUUUAGAUUUCUUGGGAAGGCCGGAGAUUAUAUUUGAAAGAAAAGUCAGGAGACCUGCUCGUUAUUUUGCUGCUAU